rnacentral:rRNA from 1 species
AUUGAACGCUGGCGGCAGGCCUAACACAUGCAAGUCGAGCGGAUGAAGGGAGCUUGCUCCUGGAUUCAGCGGCGGACGGGUGAGUAAUGCCUAGGAAUCUGCCUGGUAGUGGGUGAUAACGUCCGGAAACGGGCGCUAAUACCGCAUACGUCCUGAGGGAGAAAGUGGGGGAUCUUCGGACCUCACGCUAUCAGAUGAGCCUAGGUCGGAUUAGCUAGUUGGUGGGGUAAAGGCCUACCAAGGCGACGAUCCGUAACUGGUCUGAGAGGAUGAUCAGUCACACUGGAACUGAGACACGGUCCAGACUCCUACGGGAGGCAGCAGUGGGGAAUAUUGGACAAUGGGCGAAAGCCUGAUCCAGCCAUGCCGCGUGUGUGAAGAAGGUCUUCGGAUUGUAAAGCACUUUAAGUUGGGAGGAAGGGCAGUAAGUUAAUACCUUGCUGUUUUGACGUUACCAACAGAAUAAGCACCGGCUAACUUCGUG